UGGGGAAUUUUGGACAAUGGGCGAAAGCCUGAUCCAGCCAUGCCGCGUGCAGGAUGAAGGCCUUCGGGUUGUAAACUGCUUUUGUACGGAACGAAAAGCCUCUUUCUAAUAAAGAGAGGUCAUGACGGUACCGUAAGAAUAAGCACCGGCUAACUACGUGCCAGCAGCCGCGGUAAUACGUAGGGUGCAAGCGUUAAUCGGAAUUACUGGGCGUAAAGCGUGCGCAGGCGGUUUUGUAAGACAGAGGUGAAAUCCCCGGGCUCAACCUGGGAACUGCCUUUGUGACUGCAAGGCUGGAGUGCGGCAGAGGGGGAUGGAAUUCCGCGUGUAGCAGUGAAAUGCGUAGAUAUGCGGAGGAACACCGAUGGCGAAGGCAAUCCCCUGGGCUGCACUGACGCUCAUGCACGAAAGCGUGGGGAGCAAACAGGAUUAGAUACCCUGGUAGUCCACGCCCUAAACGAUGUCAACUGGUUGUUGGGUCUUCACCGACUCAGUAACGAAGCUAACGCGUGAAGUUGACCGCCUGGGGAGUACGCCGC
rnacentral:rRNA from 1 species